AGGAUUUCUACAUCUAUAUUUAUAUGGGAUAUUGAUUUGUAUUUUUCUUUUCUUGUGAUAGCUUUGGUUUUAGUGUCACGGUAAUACUGCCCUCAUAGAAGAUGUUGAAGAAUUUUAAGAGAAUGGUGCUGAAGCUUCACUUGGUCACGAAUAGAAGAAUUUUUCAGAGUGAUCACUACACAGCAUGGUGUGAAUGGAUUAGAAGAUUGGAGCAUGGGAAAGAAACAUGGGUCAUUUCUAGUCAGCUAAUCAUCCACUGAGGAGUUCCUGAACCAGGAGAAACCACACAGGAAUGAGGCCAAGAGAAGUGGUUUUUGUCUCAUUGAUUGCUGUGCCUGGUUCCCAUUUUAUCCAGCCUUAUCUCAGAGAGCAUUUCCUGAACACAGUCAUCUCAGAAUGGGAAAAGAAAUAUAAUCAGGAUAUAACAGCUUUCCAAUACUCAUUGGAUUCUCUGCCUGGAAAUUUCCACUUUCAGAGACUCAUUUUUUAAAGUUAAUACAUUAGCCUCUUUUGGAAUUCAGAUGCCUUUGGGAAUAAA
rnacentral:lncRNA from 1 species